rnacentral:rRNA from 1 species
UCAUCAUGCCCCUUAUGACCUGGGCUACACACGUGCUACAAUGGUUGGUACAACGAGUUGCGAGUCGGUGACGGCGAGCUAAUCUCUUAAAGCCAAUCUCAGUUCGGAUUGUAGGCUGCAACUCGCCUACAUGGAGUCGGAAUCGCUAGUAAUCGCGGAUCAGCACGCCGCGGUGAAUACGUUCCCGGGCCUU